GGCUCCUUGUAACACAGAAAUAAGGAGUCAGACCUGCUCAAUGAUUUUAAUAAUUAAAUAGCCGCGGUACCCUGACCGUGCAAAGGUAGCAUAAUCACUUGCCUCUUAAUUGGUGGCUGGCAUGAAGGGUUUAAUGAGAAUAAUACUGUCUCUUCUUUAAUCUAUUGAAACUACCCACUAGGUGAAAAGGCCUAGAUACUUAUACAAGACAAUAAGACCCUAUCGAGCUUUAGGUUAAAAUCUAUUACAAAACAAAAUCAAAAAGAGAAUACACCUUUAGUUGGGGCGACUAAGGAACAAACAAAACUUCCUAAAACAAAAACACCAACAAGUUACGACCCGGAAAAUAUCCGAUAAAAGAAAAAAGCUACCGUAGGGAUAACAGCGUAAUUUUCUUUGUGAGCUCUUAUUAAAAAGAAAGUUUGCGACCUCGAUGUUGGAUUAAGGUACCCCAAAGACGCAGCAGUCUUUAACGGUUGGUUUGUUCAACCAUUAAAACCUUACAUGAUCUGAGUUCAAAACCGGCGUAA
rnacentral:rRNA from 1 species